rnacentral:rRNA from 1 species
AAUGGAGGAAACUCUGAUGCAGCGAUGCCGCGUGAGUGAAGAAGGCCUUUGGGUUGUAAAGCUCUUUCGUCGGGGAAGAAAAUGACUGUACCCGAAUAAGAAGGUCCGGCUAACUUCGUGCCAGCAGCCGCGGUAAUACGAAGGGACCUAGCGUAGUUCGGAAUUACUGGGCUUAAAGAGUUCGUAGGUGGUUGAAAAAGUUAGUGGUGAAAUCCCAGAGCUUAACUCUGGAACUGCCAUUAAAACUUUUCAGCUAGAGUAUGAUAGAGGAAAGCAGAAUUUCUAGUGUAGAGGUGAAAUUCGUAGAUAUUAGAAAGAAUACCAAUUGCGAAGGCAGCUUUCUGGAUCAUUACUGACACUGAGGAACGAAAGCAUGGGUAGCGAAGAGGAUU